rfam:Nicotiana sylvestris Nsyl_contig211386, whole genome shotgun sequence.
UGGACAGAUUAUUGUAUUCGACUGUAUUCACGGCGUGAAACAGGGGAUUACACUGUUUUUAAACGGAAAGUGAAUCAAUUAACAUAAUAGACUCCU